AGUAAAACUUACAGUUAUAAUGGAUGGUGGGGAGCUUCUGUGAAUAUGGAGUCAUGAGGUUUCAUAAUUCAGGUUUCUAUCUUAUUGUGGUUAAACAAUUUAUUUUCCAUUAACAGAUACUAUCUGUCAUUUCAGUCGACUUUGGAAACAGCUGGGACAUGGACCCGCAGACUGGAUUGUGCCACGAAGCGGAAGGGACUCCACAUUGGAUGGCACCCGAGGCCAUAAGGCAGAUGGGCCAGCGCAUGGCAUACGACACUAAACAUACGCAGAUCAAUAUCCGGUGGAGCACCUGAUAAGAGAAGCCCAACCACCGAAGCUUCAAACAGAUGGUCACAAUGUUUUGUGUCCUUCUUGGAGUCCUUUCUGAAGAAGGAUCCUUUCGGAGAGAGGGAGUGCUGAAGAACUCCCGCAGCACCAAAUUCAUCACCCAACUGCCACCAAAGAAGAUCAUCAGGGCUGAGAUUGGAGAACAUCUCCAGACUCUGCAGAACCGGCCGGCCAAGAAAGGACUGAAGGGAGAAGCUCUCCCGACCCUGAAACAGCUGCAGCGUGCUUGUGACUUCUGCACACAGACAUUGGCAGAACAAGAAGCAGCUCUGCAAAUGGCCCUGGAGGGCUUCUCCUGUGAUUGACCUUGUGGCCAAUAACAUCAACAGCCCAGAAUGAGUUUCCUGAAUCACAGCCGAGGAAAAAGAAAACAUCCACAGGAUCCAGUGGCAUCUGCAGCUCCACCGGCACCAUCUCCUUUCAAGCUGAUGCAGUUCAGCAAGUGGUAACUUCAAGAUUCCUGCAACUACACCAGCAGGGAAUUUAUCUCCUUAUGUAGUUCCAUGAUCAUAUUCAUAUUGUAGAAAUUCAUAUAUCUAUAUAUUAUUUUGUGUAAGUAUCGAUGGUCAAAUUACCACUCAUCAAGGUGAUAAAAUAUAUUUUAUUAUGUGGAAAUAUUACAAAUUAUAUUCAAAAUUCAAAUAGCUAGUCAAACAUACCAUUGACAGCCUAAAGUAAAUAAUCUGUAUGCAUAGGUAAAAGUAUAAAGUUUAAGUGUAUAUGAGGUGCGCGCGUGCAUGUCUCUCUCUCUCUCUCUCUCCAUCUCUCAGGAAGAGAGAUCCUUCUAUCCCUCCAGGGAAGAAGAGAGCAGGAGAGAGACCAACCUUUUGUUUCAUAGUAUAUGCCUCUUUCAGGGCCUAUGCACCCCCCCCCCCAAGUAUCUAUAUAAGGCAAGAGCAUAUGUUCUACAGCCUAGUUCUACAAGGAAGUGUGAGUGAGUAAGACAGGCGUACAUACAUUAUACUGUGGUCAGUAUUACUUUUAAACUGUGUCAGCUAAUUUCUACACAUAUUCUACCACAUCUCCACCAGUGGUGUCUUUGCUUCAGUUUACAUCACUCCACCCACACACAUCUCCACCUCACUUUCCAACUGGCAUAGUUCCAUCCACUAUUAGGACCUUAGUUUUCAUUAGUAUCCAAUUGCCACAUCUCCACCCAAGGACUUUUCAUUUAACUUUAGCUCCACCACCAGCCCUUUUACCAUAUUUUACCUCUACCCGCAAGCUCUAUCCUUUUACCUCCACCAAUAUCUUCUUUUAUUUACAUAUCAUCAAGACUUUCUCCUCUUUAAAAUAUCUUUUAAUCCUUGCCCUUCUUCCUGCACCUCCAUUGGUUCUUCCAUUCCACCAAUACCAAGACAUUUAGUCACCACCACACAUCACACACUAAAAUGAUGCCCCCUACACAGAGGCUUCUCUUCUCCACUUUUUUCUUUUGCCUCCCCCCCCCUGCAAUCUCCUAACACCAAUUACUCAGUGGUUUCUCCUGUUCAAAUUCUUUCCUUUCUAAAUUCUAUCAUUUCAAGCCUUCCACUCAACAACCAGUCACAUCUCCUACUCUAAACCCUGACAUAAACUCUUAGUACUGAUACUGACAUAAACUCAUAGUACAAGUUGAUCCAGGGACUUGUCCGAUUGCCCUUUGGGAGUCAGGAAGGAAUUUUUCCCCCUCUGAGGCAAAUUGGCUCUGCUCAGAUGGGUUUUUUUUGCCUUCAUCUGGAUCAACUACUAAAUAGGAACAUCCCAUUUACACUAAAACUUGAACCUAAUGGAUGUGAGUCCUUCCCAACUUAAAUUAGUAUGAAUUAAUCUAAAAUGCAUAAAUAGAACAUCCAAUUUAUAAAUAAAUAUGUUAC